rnacentral:rRNA from 1 species
AGCGAACGCUGGCGGCAGGCUUAACACAUGCAAGUCGAGCGGGCGUAGCAAUACGUCAGCGGCAGACGGGUGAGUAACGCGUGGGAACGUACCUUUGGUUCGGAACAACCCAGGGAAACUUGGGCUAAUACCGGAUAAGCCCUUACGGGGAAAGAUUUAUCGCCAAAAGAUCGGCCCGCGUCUGAUUAGCUAGUUGGUGAGGUAACGGCUCACCAAGGCGACGAUCAGUAGCUGGUCCUGAGAGGAUGAUCAGCCACAUUGGGACUGAGACACGGCCCAAACUCCUACGGGAGGCAGCAGUGGGGAAUCUUGCGC